rnacentral:rRNA from 1 species
AUUGAACGCUGGCGGCAGGCUUAACACAUGCAAGUCGAGCGGUAACAGAGAGAAGCUUGCUUCUCUGCUGACGAGCGGCGGACGGGCGAGUAAUGCCUAGGAAUCUGCCUAGUAGUGGGGGACAACUUGCCGAAAGGUAAGCUAAUACCGCAUACGUCCUACGGGAGAAAGGAGGGGACCUUCGGGCCUUUCGCUAUUAGAUGAGCCUAGGUCGGAUUAGUUAGUUGGUGAGGUAAUGGCUCACCAAGACCGCGAUCCGUAACUGGUCUGAGAGGAUGAUCAGUCACACUGGAACUGAGACACGGUCCAGACUCCUACGGGAGGCAGCAGUGGGGAAUAUUGGACAAUGGGGGGAACCCUGAUCCAGCCAUGCCGCGUGUGUGAAGAAGGUCUUAGGAUUGUAAAGCACUUUAAGUUGGGAGGAAGAGCAGUUAACUAAUAUUUGACUGUUUUGACGUUACCGACAGAAUAAGCACCGGCUAACUUCGUG